GUGCCAGCCGCCGCGGUAAUACGGAGGGGGCUAGCGUUGUUCGGAAUUACUGGGCGUAAAGCGCACGUAGGCGGAUCAGAAAGUUGAGGGUGAAAUCCCGGGGCUCAACCUCGGAACUGCCUUCAAAACUAUUGGUCUUGAGUUCGAGAGAGGUGAGUGGAAUUCCGAGUGUAGAGGUGAAAUUCGUAGAUAUUCGGAGGACACCAGUGGCGAAGCCGGCUCACUGGCUCGAUACUGACGCUGAGGUGCGAAAGCGUGGGGAGCAAACA
rnacentral:rRNA from 1 species